AUUGAACGCUGGCGGCAGGCCUAACACAUGCAAGUCGAGCGAGCGGCGGACGGGUGAGUAAUGUCUGGGAAACUGCCUGAUGGAGGGGGAUAACUACUGGAAACGGUAGCUAAUCACGCAUACCAUCAGAUGUGCCCAGAUGGGAUUAGCUAGUAGGUGGGGUAACGGCUCACCUAGGCGACGAUCCCUAGCUGGUCUGAGAGGAUGACCAGACACACUGGAACUGAGACACGGUCCAGACUCGUGCGGGAGGCAGCAGUGGGGAAUAUGGCACAAUGGGGGCAAGCCUGAUACAGCCAUGCCGCGUGUGUGAAGAAGGCCUUCGGGUUGUAAAGCACUUUCGGCGGGGAGGCGUUACCCGCAGAAGAAGCACCGGCGAACUCCGUGCCAGCAGCCGCGGUAAGUC
rnacentral:rRNA from 1 species